rnacentral:rRNA from 1 species
GACGAACGCUGGCGGCGUGCCUAAUACAUGCAAGUCGUGCGGACAGAAGGGAGCUUGCUCCCGGAAGUUAGCGGCGGACGGGUGAAUAACACGUGGGCAACCUACCCUGUAGAUCGGGAUAACAUCGAGAAAUCGGUGCUAAUACCGGAUAAUCAUUUGAAGUGCAUGCUUCGAAUGUAAAAGAUGGCUCCGGCUAUCACUACGGGAUGGGCCCGCGGCGCAUUAGCUAGUUGGGAAGGUAAUGGCUUACCAAGGCAACGAUGCGUAGCCGACCUGAGAGGGUGAUCGGCCACACUGGGACUGAGACACGGCCCAGACUCCUACGGGAGGCAGCAGUAGGGAAUCUUCCGCAAUGGACGAAAGUCUGACGGAGCAACGCCGCGUGAGUGAUGAAGGUUUUCGGAUCGUAAAGCUCUGUUGUUAGGGAAGAACAAGUGCCGUUUGAAUAAGGCGGCACCUUGACGGUACCUAACCUGAAAGCCACGGCUAACUACGCGCCAGCCGCCGCCGUAACAC